rnacentral:rRNA from 1 species
GANCGNGCGNNNNNANAUCANUUUAUAAUCUGGCACCUUCGGUGUCCGAGUUGUAAUCUCUAGAAGUGUUUUCCGCGUUGGACCGCACACAAGUCUGUUGGAAUACAGCGGCAUAGUGGUGAAACCCCCGUAUAUGGUGCGGACGCCCAGCGCUUUGUGAUACACUUUCAAUGAGUCGAGUUGUUUGGGAAUGCAGCUCAAAUUGGGUGGUAAAUUCCAUCUAAAGCUAAAUAUUGGCGAGAGACCGAUAGCGAACAAGUACCGUGAGGGAAAGAUGAAAAGCACUUUGGAAAGAGAGUUAACAGUACGUGAAAUUGUUGGAAGGGAAACGCUUGAAGUCAGACUUGCUUGCCGGAGCUUGCUUCGGUUUGCAGGCCAGCAUCAGUUUUCCGGGGUGGAUAAUGACGGUUUGAAGGUAGCAGUCUCGGCUGUGUUAUAGCUUUCCGUUGGAUACAUCCUGGGGGACUGAGGAACGCAGCGUGCUUUUUGCGAAAGACNCGCCUUUUUCACGCUUAGGAUGCUGGUGGAAUGGCUUUAAACGACCCGNCNNNAAACACGGACCA